GAACGGCGGACUGUUAAUCCGUAUGUCGCAAGUUCAAGUCUUGCAAGGGGAGCCA
rnacentral:tRNA from 1 species